CGCUCGUCUGCUGUCCCCUACUAUCCAAAUCCAAGACCAAAUGAAAUGCCACGCUCUCCAGUGGAAAUCUAGCUCUCCUGGAAAUAGUAACACCAAGCACUGUAGGUUUCUCCAAGGAAAGAACUCGCAAGACGUAACCGACAUGGGCAGGAAAAUGAUAAAGCAGCCAUCACGCCACGCUCCUUUCACACAAUCUACAAUCCGACUAGGUAGAAAUCACCACCUGGUUACUGCAACAAAGACGAGCACCCACUCAGGUUCCUCUUUUGGGGCAUCGACGGAAACAAGAGAAGGCUGAAUAUGGGCUGGCAGUAAACCAAUGUACACGCAUACACAAAAACACGCACAUCGCUGAGGUGCACCGUCAAGUGCUUCAAUGGUUGGCAGGGCUGUGUCUCCAGCAUCUCUCCACAGUGAUAGGCCGGUGGUAGAUUGCCCUCGGGAUGUUUCUGUCAUCUACACAACACAGUCAGAGCAAACAGAGAAGCCUGGCUGCCUCACCCAUUACACACACAAGUAGAGUACACACACACACACAAAGUUGCAUUAGACUUGACUCUCUCAUCAUCACUCACAAACACACAGGGCAGACUAAAAGACUAUGUAAAAGAAAAAAGUUAUUCUCAAGACAAAGAAAUCCCACUGUGACAGAUGAUGAUAUAUUAUCUAUGCCCAGGUUUAGACAGAACACUGGGUUUCCACAUGCAAGACUUACACUCUGCAAUAUACAGAUAGAUCACAAUCCUCCCCCCUCCUCCUCCCGGCCUGCCUCCAUCUCUCCCGUUCUUUGCUUAUAAUGGAUGCUUUAAGUGACUGCCAUUGAAGAGGAAUAUUCGCCAGAGGAAUAUUGAACUGCGCUGCUGAAUGUCUCCACUUGUCUGAUGCUGAUAUGAAUGUCAAACACUGUCUAGGCAUAGAAAAACAAUUAAAAGGGGGAUUGAGAUCUGACAGCAGAACAGAGGUUUUAAAAGAAAGACAAAACAAAGACACUAAGACAAGAAUCCGAGGGUAAAGCAUUACAAAUUAAGUAAACGCUGCGUGCGUUGUUCCAACACUACACAGCGGGGAAAUAA